AGCAUCAGCUAGGGGUCCGUUUUCAGAAUUGUCUGAUAUUUGGUGAGAUAGUCCCUUAAUACCUGACGCGGAUAAUGCCGCCGUAGGGAAGCUGGGAUUUAUCUUC
rnacentral:ncRNA from 2 species